rnacentral:lncRNA from 1 species
AAUUUUGUAUUUUUAGUAGACACAUGGUUUCAUCACGCUGGUCAGGCUGGUCUCGAACUCCUGACCUCAGGUGAUCCACCUACGUCGGCCUCCCAAAGUGCUGGGAUUACAGGUGUGGGCCACUGCGCCCGGUCUAACAGUGUUAUCUCUUUAUACUGAAUUAAAUUUACCAUCUAGAGGGGAUUUCUCAGAGAACAGAGCAAGCAGAAGCAAAGAUGUUCCAGGGAGAAGAGACGAAUUAAUAUUUGUGUGUUUACUCCCCAGGACUGACAAACACACUUGGACCACAGCCUGCCAAACAGGCCCUGUGACUCUUAGGCUGCAAACCACCUUCCCCCACAAGAACACGAGGCUGGCAUUAACAUACUUCUGCUCUAAUAUAAGCCUUGCCCACCACUCCCCUAUGGCCAAACAAAAUGCUUUCACCACCGCAAGCUGGGUGCCUGAGAUAAACCUUCAAAGGCUUCUGAAGUUGCAUUUUUAAUUCCUCCAUAACAAAAUUUAGGUAAUUAGGCAAGGCAGUUCAUCAGACACUCACUUUUCUCCCAUAGCGAGUCUCUGCCUCCCGCAGGCCUUUCCCUGGGACUCUGUGAGUAAACCUAUCAGAGCCAUGACGCACCAGCCCCAGAUGCGCUGGCUCUGCUCGAGAGAUCGCAUCAGCCAAGGUCCAGGUCAGAUCUUGGGCAAACUGUCAUGUCCUUUGGAGGCUGAGAGAGGAGAAAAGGGAGCAGCGAAAUAGGGGCAGGGAGGAUGAGGUGCCCACAUGAAAGGGCAGAUUCCAGUUAAGUCAUCCGUGACCACUCUAAUUACCCAAAUGUUUUCUGGAGCCGGUAAGGUUUAGACCACCUGAUUGACCAAAAUACAGAGAAUAUUCCCAGAUCAUGAUGUUCAGCUGCCAGGCAGUAAACGAGCUUCUGGGAGUAGAACAUCCAUCCCCCUUCCCGGAAUUUGGCAUAUGUUUGAGGAUCACUAACACUGGACCUGAGAACUGGCUACUGAGUCACACAUUCCUCCCCCGAGGCACCCGCUCCGCUCCUCCCCCUUCAUCUUGGUCCUAUUCCUAACGUCCCCAGGAAUAUGCCAUUUGCCUCAAAAGUAUUGCUACAAAAGGUAGCCUUCACUGCCCUUGAUUUAUUUUAUUUUAUUUUAUUUUAUUUUAUUUUAUUUGUGUGAGACGGAGUAUCACUCUGUCACCAAGGCUGGAGUGCAGUGGCGCGAUCUCAGCUCACUGCAACCUCUACCUCCUGGGUUCUAGUGAUUCUCCUGCCUUAGUUUCCCAAGUAGCUGAGACUACAGGCAUGCAUCACCACACCCAGCUAAUUUUUGUAUUUUUUAGUGGAGAUGGGGUUUCACUAUAUGUUGGCCAGGCUGGUCUAGAACUCCUGACUGCAGGUGAUCUGCCUGUCUUGGUCUCCCAAAGUGCUGGGAUUACAGGCAUGAGCCACGGCACCCAGUCUGCUCUUGAUUUUUCUCUGGUUUUCAGCCUACCUAUAUCAGCAGCUGAGAAGGUGAAACUAAAGUCUGAAAAAAACAAAAAAAAAACCACCCUGCAGCCUCUUGUACCAUGCUGACGGCAGUGAGAGAGGGUGUAAGCUGCACAGGAGAUGAAUUUAUCUGGACGGAGCCAACCAUAAGACAGUUAAAUCUCCAUCCUACCCUAUGGAAGCUUCAAGCCCCAGAGAAAGAAACUGAUGUGCUCGAUGUAAAACUGAUUCAGCAAACCCAGCAACACCGCACGUCUCCUAAACAGGCAUCCUCAGUUUCCUCUGCACUCCAUCCUCCACCCACCCCUACACCUUCCCCCACCACCCAAUUGAUGUGUGGAAAACACAGAAAGUAAUGCUGCCCCCUUUAACUCACAAAGGCUGCUUCACACUGGUCACUGGCUGUCCAGCAUACCUGUACCAGAACCAACACGCUCACAAAGAUGCCCCUCUCUGGGCUGGCUGUUGUUGGUCUCAUUUAACUCGCUGGGCACCAAAGGAGUGGGAGUGGGUGAGCAGUGUCUGGCACGGUGCCCAAGCCCUGACACUGAAUGUGACAUGAGCCUCCAUCAAAGGACACAGGGAGAUGCCACCUGCCAUCUGCCUCCCACCACCCAAAAGUUGCUUCUCCUUCUUCAACCAUGUGCAUACAAAGUCUCAAAAAAUUCACGCUUACUAGGAAAUGAUUGCAAGGAAUUUCUUCUUUGGUACUGGAAAAAAAUAUUUUUGCUCAAAAAAAUAACAUAAACUGAAACGUCUGUGUUACACCAGUAAGUCUAGUGCAAAUUAAUAAAUGCCAAGAAGGAAAAACUCACAGGAGGAACGAAAACCCAACUUUUCUUGUCCUGAAAAGAGAACAAGGAUGGACUGAGGGACCUGAGUGAGACGCUGUGUGUGUAUGGGUGUUGGAGAGGGAAAGAGUCAGGGCCAUGGAGACACUGAGUGAUCCCUGUGUCCUAGAGGAGACUGGCCAACACAGAAUAAAAAGUGGCCUCAUAAAUGCCUAGAAACAACCCAUCCUUGACACAUCUGAUUAGAGGCUCAGGUAAAGGCAUGCUUGGCAUCCCUGUGGUAUUUGCUCUGUCAUCAACGUAUCUGCAGGCCUUUCUGGGGCUUUUCAUUCCAGCUCCAGUCCAAUAACCCUCUUUUAUCCAGAUACCCGAUAAGCAUCUCUUUCUCUACCAAAGGGGCCAUGCGUACUGAUGAAACAUUCUUUGUGAAGAUCCAAUAAUGUACCCCACUUGGACAUGUAGAAGGAGCUGAGGUGUGUCAACAUUCCCCCCAAAUAAAUUAAUCUCGCAGAGAUGUACUUUUCCAGGGAACUGGUAUUUGCCCCCUUUCCUCUGCUUCUGUUAUACUCCUCGGCCCUACUGAACACAAGCCAAUUACAUUUUCUUUUUUUUCCCACUUUGGGUUUUUGUUUUGUUUUGUUUUGUUUUGUUUUUUGAGUUGGAGUCUCGCUGUGUUGGUCAGGCUGGUCUUGAACUCCUGGGUUCAAAGGAUCCUCCCGCUUCAGCCUCCUGUGGAGCUAGGAUUACAGGCAUUUACCAUCAAAUAACCUUGGAACCACUGGUGAAUGUGACAGGCUGUGUCUUACAUGUAACCUGAUUUAUACCCCGCACUUAGUAAAUUAUGAUGAAUAAAUAAAGGAAGGAGGGAAGAAAAAGAGGAAGGAACUCUGAUGUUCCCUCUGGUAACACAGGGAAGAGAGGAAAAAGGACCAACUUAGGCUGAAUUCUCUCUCUUUUUUUUUAAAGACGGAGUUUUACUCUUGUUGCCCAGGCUGGAGCGCAAUGGUGUGAUCUUGGCUCAUUGCAACCUCCACCUCCCAGGUUCAAGUGAUUCUCCUGCCUCAGCCUCCCAAGCAGCUGGGACUACAGGCAUGCACCACCACACCCAGCUAAUUUUUGUACUUUUAGUAGAGACGAGGUUUCAACAUGUUAGUCAGGCUGGAUGGUCUCGAACUCCUGACCUCGGGUGAUCCACGCGCCUCAGCCUCCCAAAGUGCUGGGAUUACAGGCGUGAGCCACCACGCCCGGCCAGGCUGAAUUCUCU